CCCCCGGUAGCUCAGUUUGGUCAGAGCGCUUGACUGAAAAUCAAGAGGUCGUCAGUUCGAUACUGACCUGGGGGGC
rnacentral:tRNA from 1 species